UUGAAUUUUGAAAUAUGAAGUUUUUCAUUUUUUGUAGAUUAAAUAAUGUGUAAAAUGUUGCAGUUUCGUCAAUCAGUUUUAUAAGAUAUUGAGCUUUAGUUAUGAUGCAGAUUGUAAGAUUCUUAAUAUCUUUCAAUAUUGUGGAUAAGUUUUUGAGAUAUCAAGCUUUGAAUUUUAUGCAAAUUGUAUGAUUUAAAAUGUUUUAAUUUGUUGAUCAGUGUACUGAAGAUUGUAUACUUUUUAUAUGUUAUAAUUCUGUCUAUUGGUUUUCAAAAUGAAAGACUUUGAUUUUGUAAGUGCACUUUUAUCUCAUUAUGCCCCCCUUCGAAGAAGAGGGGGUAUAUUGCUUUGCUCAUGUCGGUCGGUCUGUCGGUAUGUCAGUCUGUCGGUCCGUCCACCAGGUGGUUGUCAGACGAUAACUCAAGAACGCUUGGGCCUAGGAUCAUGAAACUUCAUAGGUACAUUGAUCAUGACUCGCAGAUGACCCCUUAUGAUUUUGAGGUCACUAGGUCAAAGGUCAAGGUCACGGUGACCCAAAAUAGUAAAAUGGUUUUUGAAUGAUAACUCAAGAACGCAUACGCCUAGGAUCAUGAAACUUCAUGGGUAGAUUGAUCAUGACUCGCAGAUGACCCCUAUUGAUUUUGAGGUCAAAGGUCAAGGUCACGGUGACCCAAAAUAGUAAAAUGGUUUCCGGAUGAUAACUCAAAAAUUCAUACGCCUAGGAUCAUGAAACUUCAUGGCUAGAUUGAUCAUGACUCGCAGUUGACCCCUAUUGAUUUUGAGGUCACUAGGUCAAAGGUCAAGGUCACGUUGACCCGAAAUAGUAAAAUGGUUUUCGGAUAAUAACUCAAGAACGCAUAUGCCUAGGAUCAUGAAACUUCACAGGUAGAUUGAUCAUGACUCACAGAUGACCCUUAUUGAUUUUGAGGUCACAAGGUCAAGGUCACGGUGACCCGAAAUAGUAAAAUGAUUUUCGGAUGAUAACUCAAGAACGCUUUUUCCUAGGAUCAUGACACUUCAUAGGUAAAUUGAUCGUGACUCACAGAUGACCCCUAUUGAUUUUCAGGUCACUAGGUCAAAGGUCAAGGUCACAGUGACAAAAAACGUAUUCACACAAUGGCUGCCACUACAACGGACAGCCCAUAUGGGGGGCAUGCAUGUUUUACAAACAGCCCUUGUUAAAGAUUCUUUUCUAGUGUUAAGUUUAUAUUUUAAGGCUGUUUGCAAACUCGAAGUGAAAACAGCUCUAGUACAAUUUGGUAAGGACAUGACAUUGCAUAUCUGAUUUAAAAAUGUACUUUGCUGGCAACGUGUAAUUUUCAGAAAUGUCUUAGUAAGUAAGACUGUUGUUUGCAAUCAAAAGGUAUGUGCUUCGAUUCCAGGAAAAUGCAUGUUUUUUGUCCAAAUUUAUGUCAAUUCAGACAUUGUCUGUGUAAAUAUGGGGUUUGCUUGUAGGAUCAGUCUAUUUUUAUGUCCCCCACUAUAGUAGUGGGGGACAUGUUGUUUUUGCUCUGUCGGUCUGUUGGUUGGUUGGUUGGUCUGUUUAUGCCAACUUAAACAUUUUGCAAUAACUUGCAAUAUUGAAGGUAGCAACUUGAUAUUUGGCAUGCAAAUGCAUCUCCUGAAGCUGCACAUUUUGAUUGGUGAAAGGUCAAGGUCAUCCUUCAAGGUCAGAGGUCAAAUAUAUGUGGCCAAAAUCGCUCAUUUUAUGAAUACUUUUGCAAUAUUGAAGAUAGCAACUUGAUAUUUGGCAAGCAUGUGUAUCUUAUUGAGCUGCACAUUUUGAGUGGUGAAAGGUCAAGGUCAUCCUUCAAGGUCAGAGGUCAAAUAUAUGUGGCCCAAAUCGCUUAUUUUAUUAAUACCUUUGCAAUAUUAAAGAUAGCAACUUGAAAUUUGGCAUGCAUGUGUAUCUCAUGGAGCUGCAAAUUUUGAGAGUUGAAAGGUCAAAGUCAUCCUUCAAGGUCAGAGGUUAAAUAUAUGUGGCCCAAAUCGCUUAUUUUAUGAAUACUUUCGCACUAUUGAAGAUAGCAACUUGAUAUUUGGCAUGCAUAUGUAUCUCAUAGAGCUGCACAUUUUGAGUGGUGAAAGGUCAAGGUCAUCCUUCAAGGUCAAAUAUAUGGGUCAAAAUUGCUCAUGUUAUGUUACUUCUGCAAUAUUGAAGCUAGCAAUUUUAUAUUUGACAUGCAUGUGUAUCUCAUGGAGCUGCACAUUUUGAGUGGUGAAGGGUCAAGGUCAUCCUUCAAGGUCAAACGUUAUAUACGGGGACAUUGGGUUUCACAAACGCAUCUUGUUGUGUAUGUAAUUAAUUAUGCUUAAUUUUUGUGAUCCCCCGCCAACAGCGGAGGGAUAUUAAUUUGGCAUUGUCCGUCUUUCCGUCUGUCCGUCCGGCACUUUUGUGUCCGAAACCAUAUCUUGGAAGUGCUUUGGCAGAUUUCAUUGAAACUUGGUAUGAGUAUAUAUAUAUGGAUAAGAGGAUGAUGCACGCCAAAUGGCAUUGUACAUCCUUGAAUAAUAGCGGAGUUAUGACCCUUUGUAUUUGAAAAAAAUGCUUGUUUGUGUGUCCAGAGCCAUAACUUGUAUCCAGAAGUAUAAUGGCGGGGGAUAUCAAUUCAACGAAUUUGCUUGUUAAAUCAGUUUUUAUUUUCAUGAUAAUCAUUUAGUUCGUACUGCAACUUAUGAUGGAUUGUAACUACUAUCUCCAAUUAUUUGUUUGUCAUGGGUCCGUCACCAUUUAUCUCUUAUAUAAUACUUGAAUUGAGCAUUUCACAAUCUGACAAUCAUGCAUAUCAUUUAUUAGUUUCAUAAUAAAACGUCUGACAAGGGUCAGAUAAUUUUAA